UCUCUUCUCUCACCCUUUUUACUUUCUAUCAUCUCCUUCUUCUAAAUCUUCCGACGGAAGCCUCCCAAACCCCAAACUAUUUUGUUCUCCUUCCUCCUAUACAUGAAUGAGAUUCAUCAUGCUGCUUCAAAACUAUCUUCUGAAACAGAGAUUCCGCUGCAGGGUCCAAGGAAUGCAGGCAAGUUUGUUUUAAGAGACCGUUGUAUUCAGAAUGCUAGGAAGAGUCCAAAUCAUUUUGAAAGAUUAAGUAGGGAGUGUCCAAAAUAUCAAGUUAAGGAAGACCUGGACACUGCUAGAAAUGGCCAAAGAGGGGUGGUGAGGAAUCAGAUACUAUGAAGGUGGCAAGAGAUUCUAAAGUUGAAGAAAUUAAUCGACCCAGGAAUGGGACUAGGGAGAGAAAAAAUAACUCUUCCAAAAUGCAGACAUGUACAGAGAAAUGAGAAGCAUUUUACUAAAAUUUACACUGAAAACAAACAUCGAAAAAUAUUUUGGAUGGUGGAGACAAGGAGCGGGG